AGUAACGGCGAGUGAAGCGGUAACAGCUCAAAUUUGAAAGCUAGCUCUUUUAGGGUUCGCAUUGUAAUUUGUAGAAGAUGCUUCGGGUGUGGCCCCGGUCUAAGUUCCUUGGAACAGGACGUCAUAGAGGGUGAGAAUCCCGUAUGUGACUGGGUGCUUUCGCUCAUGUGAAGCUCUUUCGACGAGUCGAGUUGUUUGGGAAUGCAGCUCAAAAUGGGUGGUAAAUUUCAUCUAAAGCUAAAUAUUGGCCAGAGACCGAUAGCGCACAAGUAGAGUGAUCGAAAGAUGAAAAGCACUUUGGAAAGAGAGUUAAACAGUACGUGAAAUUGUUGAAAGGGAAGCGCUUGCAACCAGACUUGCGCGCUGAUGAUCAUCCGGGCUUCUGUCCGGUGCACUCGUCUGCGCUCAGGCCAGCAUCGGUUUCGGUGGUGGGAUAAAGGCCUUGGGAAUGUAGCUUCUUUCGGGGAGUGUUAUAGCCCUCGGUGCAAUGCCGCCUACCGGGACCGAGGACCGCGCUUCGGCUAGGAUGCUGGCGUAAUGGUUGUAAGCGACCCGUCUUGAAACACGGACCAAGGAGUCUAACAUCUAUGCGAGUGUUUGGGUGUCAAACCCAUACGCGUAAUGAAAGUGAACGGAGGUGAGAACCCUUAAGGGUGCAUCAUCGACCGAUCCUGAUGUCUUCGGAUGGAUUUGAGUAAGAGCAUAGCUGUUGGGACCCGAAAGAUGGUGAACUAUGCGUGAAUAGGGUGAAGCCAGAGGAAACUCUGGUGGAGGCUCGCAGCGGUUCUGACGUGCAAAUCGAUCGUCAAAUUUGCGUAUAGGGGCGAAAG
rnacentral:rRNA from 1 species